rnacentral:tRNA from 1 species
GCGGGGUGGGCGGCCGGGCCGCUGCCGUCGGUGCCGCGGGUGUCGACGGAGCCGUCGGAGGCUUCGUCGGCUGCGGUUCCGGCGGCGGUUCCGGG